rnacentral:rRNA from 1 species
UACGUAGGGUGCAAGCGUUGUCCGGAAUUAUUGGGCGUAAAGAGCUCGUAGGCGGUCUGUCGCGUCGGCUGUGAAAUCCCGAGGCUCAACCUCGGGUCUGCAGUCGAUACGGGCAAACUAGAGUAUUGCAGGGGAGACUGGAAUUCCUGGUGUAGCGGUGAAAUGCGCAGAUAUCAGGAGGAACACCGGUGGCGAAGGCGGGUUGCUGGGCCGACACUGACGCUGAGGCGCGAAAGCCAGGGGAGCAAACGGG